rnacentral:lncRNA from 1 species
GUUUGCAGUCUCCCUAGAGGAAGUGGAGGGGCCUGAAUUGGCCACCCCGGGCAUGGCGCAACACCUCCGACUCUGGGGAGGAGUUGAGUCCAGGCCCCUGAUGCUGCGGCGGUCUUCACUUGCUCUCACCCACGAGCCACUGCAGCGGCAGCGGCCCUCUUCUCCGUCGUCACUAGGACGGGGCCCAAGGUCCUCUCUUGCUCUCUCCCAGAAGCUGCAGCGGAAACCUUCGUCUUCACUUUCUCUCUCCCAAAAGCCACUGAAGCGGUAGCUGGCGUCUUCACUGCCGCUCACACCAGAGGAGUCGCUGGCUGCGUAGCCGCGGUCUCCACUUACUUCCUCCCAAGAACUACCAACGCUGUGGCCGCCUUCGACACUCCCUCCCUCCCAGGAGCCACUGAAGCGGCGACUGCGAUCGUCACUGACUCUAUCCCCGAAGUCACUAGUUCGCGGGUCCCGAAUGUCACUGACUCCCUCCCAAGGACCACUGAGGCGGAGGCCUCGGUCUUCUCUGGCUGUUCCCCUGGAGUCGGUAGUUUGGUGGCCUCCAACUUCACUAAAAUUCACGUCGCUGCUGCAGAAGGUGCUGUCUCCCCUAACUCUCUCCCAAGAGCAGCUGUGACUGUGGCCACUAUCUCCCCUAACUCUCUCCCUAGAGACGCUGCGGCAGUGGCCGAGGUUUUCACUGACCCUUCUCAAGUCACUGCGGGAGAAGCCGGCGUCUGCACUUAGGCUUCCUGCAGCGACCCUGGAGCGGCGGUCGCUCUCUUCACAUUUUCUUUCCCCGUCGUCGCUAACUCUUUCCCUAGACUCGGCGCCGGAAUGGCCGUGUAGACCGUUUAUCCUCCACACGUGGUGGCUAGUGCGGCGGCCACCGUCUUCGUCUGCUACUCCCUGCGAAUCGCCGUAGCGGCGGCCGCCUUCCGCUGGUACUUUCUCGGAGUCUCUUUCCAGCCUCCCGACUCCAGCCACUUGGCUGGAGAGGCAGCAGGGCCGUCGCCUUGGAAACGAGUACACUUCCGACGUGCUGAGGUCAUUUCCCGUUCCUCACGGCCCACGCUACUUCCGGUUUCCUUUCCCUCAGCUAUUCCAUGGCUUUUCGUGUGGACAAAUCGGGAGGUGGUGUAAACUGGUUUUUGGUGAAAUUCGGCUCGGCCUCAUGCGAACCUAUCUAGGUCCGUCUCUGGAGUGGCCUGUCAUCGAUCGCGCCCUCCAUCGCUGAGCGACACAAGUGGAACCCCCCAGGACUGCAUUCUGCUUUUGGUCUGUGAACACAUUUGGGAAAUUCUUCUGAUCCUACCGCUACUCUCUUGAGAGAGAGAAACAAGGGAAAAAAAAGUUAAUUGCCUGAGGAUAUACUGCUAGUGUUGCGGGACAAAUAGAGACGGGAGAGGCCAAACAGAAUUCAGGACAACCCUUUAUUAUUAAGCGCGCUAGGGAGGGAAGCAGGAACUCGUGGUGCCUCAAGGAACGUGAAACGGUGGAACACAGAUAAGCCUCUCCGUGCGUAGAGGAGAAAUAAGCGGUUAAUAUUCUCUCUUAACCCAGGCCUCCGGAGGGUGGGGGGCUAUAUUUCAUUCUACCUCUAAGGAAAAGAAUAAACUUCUUGACUAAUAUACUUAUAAAAUUCAUUAAUUCCCCCUUCACUAGUAAAUAAUAAAUACCUGACUUAGGAUUCCAAAAUAGGUCUUGAAUUUUUCUGCAGGAGCUCCUCAAAGUCUCUGAAUUCCCACAACCUUUUAUUAGAUCACUUAUCCCAUUGUAUUAUAAUUAUCUGUUUAACAAUUUUUCCUCACCCCUAAAGGACCCUGAGCUUCUGGAAGGUAGGGACUGUAUCUUAAAAUCUUGGCAUUUCUGAUGUCUAGAAUAUUUCAUUUAAGAGAAGGGCUUAGUAACUGUUGUGUGGGUGGGUUGAUGAGUUAACUGUCAGGCAGGUGAACUAAUAGGCUGAAGAUAAAGUUUUUCACUGUUGGAAGUGAAUUUGGGAUUAGUCAUCCUAAUCCCCUCACUUUUAGAGAUGGGGCAACUGAGUCAUGCGCGGUGGCUCACGCCUGUAAUUCUAGCACUUUGGGAGGCCAAGGUGAGCGGAUCACCUGAAGUCAGGGAUUUGAGACCAGCCUGGCCAACAUGGCGAAACCCCAUCUCUACUAAAAAUACAAAAAUUAGCCAGGCAUGGUAGCAGGAGCCUGUAAUCCCAGCUGUUCGGGAGGCUGAGGCAGGAGAAUCACUUGAACCUGGGAGGCGGAGGUUGCAGUGAGUUGAGAUCGCGCAAUUGCGCUCCAGCCUGGGCGACAAGAGCAAAACUCCACCUCAAAGAAAAAACAAAACAAGACAUGGGGCAGCUGAGGCCUUUUGUAUACCAGGCAUUUAUCGAGUUAUUCAUGUGGGCCAGUUUCUGUGAUAAAUGAUUUGCAAAUAAUACCCAACUUAAUCUGUAUUGUUAUUUUUAUUUUUACAGAUGAAGAAACAGCUCAGAUUUGACCAAGAUCACACAAGUAGGAGUUGAGGAAUUGGAACCCACUAUGACUGACUCCAAAUUAAUAUAGUGUUUAUAGCCACUUACAUAAUAAUGAGGGUGUUGCUAUGCUUUCCUCUGUACAAGCUGGUGGUGUAUCAAUUCGUUCUUCCUUAACUUUGGGACUGUCACAGGGUUCCUGCAAUUCGUUUUUGACAAUGUUCAACAUAAUAUUCAAGGGGUUUUCAACUGGUGUCUUGCUGGGAGAUGGUGUACAAUCAAAUGAAGAUGUCUACAAAAUGAAAGGCCCUAUGAGUACUGAUGAAAGUUCAAAAUUCUCACAUUAAAUAACAUUUAGUCUUGUAAGACCCUUGUAUGAACAAGAGAACACACAUACAACCAAAUGCAAAUGAAACACCUGCCUCCCAACAAAAUGUGCCAUAAAGACAACCAGAAAUAAAAUAUAUAUUGCACGUUCAA